GACGAACGCUGGCGGCGUGCUUAACACAUGCAAGUCGAACGGUGAAGCUCCAGCUUGCUGGAGUGGAUCAGUGGCGAACGGGUGAGUAACACGUGAGCAACCUGCCCCUGACUCUGGAAUAAGCGCUGGAAACGGCGUUUAAUACUGGAUACGAGAAGGGUCCGCAUGGGCACUUUCUGGAAAGUUUUUCGGUUGGGGAUGGGCUCGCGGCCUAUCAGCUUGUUGGUGAGGUAAUGGCUCACCAAGGCGACGACGGGUAGCCGGCCUGAGAGGGCGACCGGCCACACUGGGACUGAGACACGGCCCAGACUCCUACGGGAGGCAGCAGUGGGGAAUAUUGCACAAUGGGCGAAAGCCUGAUGCAGCGACGCCGCGUGAGGGAUGACGGCCUUCGGGUUGUAAACCUCUUUCAGCAGGGAAGAAGCGAAAGUGACGGUACCUGCAGAAGAAGCACCGGCUAACUACGUG
rnacentral:rRNA from 1 species